GAUGAACGCUGACAGAAUGCUUAACACAUGCAAGUCAACUUGAACUUCGGUUUGGGUGGCGGACGGGUGAGUAACGCGUAAAGAACUUGCCUCACAGCUAGGGACAACAUUUGGAAACGAAUGCUAAUACCUGAUAUUAUGAUUUUAGGGCAUCCUAGAAUUAUGAAAGCUAUAUGCGCUGUGAGAGAGCUUUGCGUCCCAUUAGCUAGUUGGAGAGGUAACGGCUCACCAAGGCGAUGAUGGGUAGCCGGCCUGAGAGGGUGAACGGCCACAAGGGGACUGAGACACGGCCCUUACUCCUACGGGAGGCAGCAGUGGGGAAUAGUGGACAAUGGACCAAGAGUCUGAUCCAGCAAUUCUGUGUGCACGAUGAAGUUUUUCGGAAUGUAAAGUGCUUUCAGUUGGGAAGAAAAAAAUGACGGUACCAACAGAAGAAGUGACGGCUAAAUACGUG
rnacentral:rRNA from 1 species